ensembl:piRNA 21ur-3895 ncRNA
UUCAUAAUGAUAACGGAUCUA